rnacentral:rRNA from 1 species
CUUGACUAACCAUAGGAGGUCCAGCCUGCCCAGUGACUCUGUUCAACGGCCGCGGUAUCCUAACCGUGCGAAGGUAGCGUAAUCACUUGUUCUUUAAAUGAGGACUAGUAUGAAUGGCACCACGAGGGCUACACUGUCUCCUUUUUUUAAUCAGUGAACUUAAUCUUCCCGUGAAGAAGCGGGAAUAAACCUAUAAGACGAGAAGACCCUAUGGAGCUUAAAACAACAUAGCACUUGCCACAUAACACAAAAAUUUCUGAAUACCCUAAUUUUUCAAAGCAAUAUGACUAUAAGUUUUUGGUUGGGGUGACCGCGGAGCAUAACACAACCUCCACGUUGAACGAACUUUAUUCUAAGCCACGAACCACUUUCCUAAGCAUCAAUACAUUGACAUUAAUUGACCCAAUAUAUUUGACCAACGAAC